AGUGUAGGGGAGGCAGGUAGCCUAGUGGUUAGAGUGUAGGGGAGGCAGGUAGACUAGUGGUUAGAGUGUAGGGGAGGCAGGUAGACUAGUGGUUAGAGUGUAGGGGCGGCAGGUAGCCUAGUGGUUAGAGUGUAGGGGAGGCAGGUAGCCUAGUGGUUAGAGUGUAGAGGAGGCAGGUAGCCUAGUGGUUAGAGUGUAGAGGAGGCAGGUAGUCUAGUGGUUAGAGUGUAGAGGAGGCAGGUAGACUAGUGGUUAGAGUGUAGAGGAGGCAGGUAGACUAGUGGUUAGAGUGUAGAGGAGGCAGGUAGUCUAGUGGUUAGAGUGUAGAGGAGGCAGGUAGCCUAGUGGUUAGAGUGUAGAGGCGGCAGGUAGCCUAGUGGUUAGAGUGUAGAGGAGGCAGGUAGACUAGUGGUUAGAGUGUAGAGGAGGCAGGUAGACUAGUGGUUAGAGUGUAGAGGAGGCAGGUAGACUAGUGGUUAGAGUGUAGAGGAGGCAGGUAGACUAGUGGUUAGAGUGUAGAGGAGGCAGGUAGACUAGUGGUUAGAGUGUAGAGGAGGCAGGUAGACUAGUGGUUAGAGUGUAGAGGUGGCAGG